rnacentral:rRNA from 1 species
CCUACGGGCGGCAGCAGUGGGGAAUAUUGCACAAUGGAGGGAACUCUGAUGCAGCGACGCCGCGUGAGUGAAGAAGUAACUCGUUAUGUAAAGCUCUAUCAGCAGGGAAGAAAGUGACGGUACCUGAAAAAGAAGCUCCGGCUAAAUACGUGCCAGCAGCCGCGGUAAUACGUAUGGAGCAAGCGUUAUCCGGAUUUACUGGGCGUAAAGGGGGAGUAGGUGGCAGUGCAAGUCCGAAGUGAAAACCCAAAGCUCAACUCUGGGAAUGCUUUAGAAACUGCUCAGCUGGAGUGCAGGAGAGGCAAGUGGAAUUCUUAGUGUAGCGGUGAAAUGCGUAGAUAUUAGGAGGAACACCAGUGGCGAAGGCGGCUUACUGGACUGUAACUGACGCUGAGGCUCGAAAGCGUGGGGAGCAAACAGGAUUAGAUACCCCAGUAGUC